rnacentral:misc_RNA from 1 species
AAAGUCGUAACAAGGUUUCCGUAGGUGAACCUGCGGAAGGAUCAUUACCGAGUUCAUGCCCGUCAGGGUAGACCUCCCACCCGUGUAUAUACCUACUCUGUUGCUUUGGCGGGCCGCCGCAAGGCACCGGCUCCGGCCGGGUCGCGCCCGCCAGAGGACCCCUAAACUCUGAAUGUUAGUGUCGUCUGAGUACUAUCUAAUAGUUAAAACUUUCAACAACGGAUCUCUUGGUUCUG